UACGAAGGGGGCUAGCGUUGCUCGGAUUGACUGGGCGUAAAGGGCGCGUAGGCGGCCAGUUUAGUCAGAGGUGAAAGCCCAGGGCUCAACCUUGGAAUUGCCUUUGAUACUGGCUGUCUUGAGUUCGGGAGAGGUGAGUGGAAUGCCGAGUGUAGAGGUGAAAUUCGUAGAUAUUCGGCGGAACACCAGUGGCGAAGGCGACUCACUGGCCCGAUACUGACGCUGAGGCGCGAAAGCGUGGGGAGCAAACAGG
rnacentral:rRNA from 1 species